rnacentral:tmRNA from 1 species
GGGGGUGUAUUGGCUAUCGACGGGAUACAGGGGAUAGCGGGCAGCAUGUCGAGGAUAUCGGUUGGCCUCGUAAAUCAUCCGGUAAACUAUAAUUGCAGAAGAUUAUUCUUACGCAAUCGCUGCUUAAUUAAAGCGGCAACUCGGGCAGGGAUCGCGCUUAUUUCUGUCUGAGCAAUUAAGGCGCUGGUUUGAAUGAGGGUGUUGGCAUUCAGAUGAGAUUAAAAAUACUGGCUGUAUUGUAAGCGUGUCUCUCCGCGUGCAGUAUGGUGAGAUUAAUUGAAAGACUAAACAUGUAGCGGCCCAUAUUGAAUGUUUUCCGGACAGGGGUUCAACUCCCCUCACCUCCAUUA